rnacentral:tRNA from 1 species
GCCUGGUUGGCUCAGGUGGUAGAGUAUGUGACUCUUGAUCUUGGGGUUGUGAGUUCAAGUCUCACAUUGGGUG